GGCAGAGAGUAUACUUGUGUGCAUGUGAGCAUGUGAGCUCAUCUGUGCCAAUAUAUGUGAGCAACAGGCCCCAAGGUGGGCAGAAAAGUCACAUCAUCAUGAACUGGCAGUGAGGCUGUGGUUUUCAACAGGCCAAACUGCAUUCCUCGUUUCUCUUCACGUACUGAGCAUGGAUGGACUUCUUCAGGCCCCCAACAUUACCUGCUUAAAGAGGAUCCCCUUCUGAGCCUGGCUGAGGGCUGGGCUGGGGAGCUAAGAUCUUGCCUGCAGGGCUGUGGUUUGGCUCUCCUGAUGGCUGCAGCUGGUGAAGUCUGUUUUCAAAGGUCAGUUCCUUUGCCCCAUGGUGGUUGUUAUUUUUAUUUAAUUUUAAUUUUUUUUUUUUUGAGAUGAAGUCUCACUCUGUCGCCCAGGCUGGAGUGCAGUGGCGCAAUCUCACCGUAGCCUCUGCCUCCCGGGUUCAAGCGAUUCUCAUGUCUCAGCCUCCUGAGUAGCUGGGAUUACAGGCAGGUGCCACCACGCCUGGCUAAUUUUUGUAUUUUUAGUAGAGGCAGGGCUUCAC
rnacentral:lncRNA from 1 species